GGGGUUGUGGCUCAGUGGUAGAGUGCUUGCCUAGCAUGCAUGAGGCACUGGGUUCAAUGACUAGCACCACA
rnacentral:tRNA from 1 species